AAAUUAGCCUGUGCUCCGGGAAUAUUUGAGAGGCUCCUUCGCGGAGGACUAAAAUAAAAGUGACAAAAAAUGUAAAUAUCGAACAUUGGAAAAAACUGUUCAAGCUCACUUAUAAUUAAAGAAUGCAAAUUAAAACAAUGACACUUUUCCCGUAAAAUUAGGCAAGUAUCUUCUAACUGCCCCGGCUAUCCGGUUCUGAAAUUCUCUCCUAAGGAAAUAAACGAGAGCCGAGAAAGUAUCGGUCCAAGAACGUUAACAGGCAUUACCUCCGCAGUAUUGGAAAACUGGGAACCGUGGAGAUGUCUGGCCUCAGGGGCUUGGAUGGAGUUCAGCCUUCUUCGGGGUUCAACCACGUGGUGCGCGCGGCCACUGGGGGGGUCUCUGAAGACUUUUUCUGCACCGGGCACCCCUCAGGAGCUCAGGUGAAAGGCAGGACAAAACUGCACCUCACCGGAUGCUGACCCUGGUCACCGACGCUCUCCUGUCCCCCUGUGGCUCCACCUUGGAGAACCCACCUGGCUUUUCCGUGAGCUUCACACUCGUCCGAAACCCGGGAUGUGUGCGACACGCGGCCGAGGGUUGCUGGAUGCCUGGAGGCUUAGUGCCCCUCACACCUCUCAGCACCUAAGCAGGCCUCUCACACUCAGCAGGAACGAAGGAGAACAGGAGGCAAAGUCACACCGUCUCCCCGCUGCAUUUGAGGGAUUCGGAUUCCCCUUCCUGCUUCUUGGUAAUUUCCAUAUUUUCUACAAACAACUUGUGUAACUUCGACAGUCAUAAAACAUGGAAAGCAUACGACUUGAGGAAAGGGGACCCUGGGCACUCUCUGGUCUCUGUCCCUGAAGCCACAUUCGCUGGGAUAGGAGGAGCCGCUCACCCACGUCAGACCUUUGGGGUUUAAGCUGUGAAAGCUGCUGAUUUACCCCAAUGGCAUUUUACAAGCAGGUUAUUUCACAACUUUGUAAAAUACUGAGAAUUUAAAGUGCUGCUCCUGACCACAGAACAACUGA
rnacentral:lncRNA from 10 species